UUACAAAAACAUCAUAACAUGUCAGUAAGUAACAGGGUAUUUUCUGACAGAAUACAGAAGGAAACCAAAAAGUGGUGAGAAAAAACUGUUGUCUACUGGCUGCUCUGUCAUUUCCUGUCUCCCUCCCACUCAGAGUCCACAGUCUAGAUCAGGGCUACUGUGCUGCUCUUCUCUCUCCAUCACUGAGGAGUCAAGAUGCUCAAAGUUUUCAUUUGGGUCACUGUCUUACUGCACUGGCUCACAGGUCUGGCAGACUGUAACAGUGUUUACCAGGAUCCUCCUGCUCUGUUCAUUACAAAACUCAAUAAAACUGCUAAGCUCAGCUGCAGCCACAAUAUAAAAAGCUAUGAACGCAUGUACUGGUACCUGCAAAAUGCAAAAGGAGCUUUUAAAUACCUUGGAUAUCUUAAUCUGAACAACCCUUAUCCUGAAGAUGAGUUUAAAGACAAAAUCACCUUAACGGGAGAUGGAAGAAACAAAGGCGUUUUAGAGAUUUCCUCAAUAACAGCUGCUGACAGCGGUGUAUAUUUCUGUGCAGCUAGUACACACAGUGCUGCAGAUCAUCCCUUUUCUUUACAAAAACCCUUCUGAGCCACCCCCUCACCAGCGACAUCAGUAGAACACAUCAGCUCUCCACCAGCCUCAAAGCAUUUUGUGAGACUUCAGAAAGUGUAACACUAAUAGCUGUUCUUGCAACAUUGAUAUUUUGCAAGAGUGAAAAAGAUCGCAUUGCUUAAAUUUCUCCUACUGUAUCUGUCACUAAACAACUGCACAACUUACACAGGUCACUGUGAGGUGAGUAAAGUUUUGCAGACCCCAAUCCUCUGGAGAAAGCCAGGGGGGUCUGCAGAGAUGCACUGUGA